UAGGGAAUAUUAGAAAUGGACGAAAGUCUGAUCUAGCAACACCGCGUGUGGGAUGAAGGCCUUCGGGUCGUAAAGCACUUUUUGGAAAGAAUAGGAAGGAAUGUACUUCCAGAAUAAGUCUCGGCUAACUACGUGCCAGCAGCCGCGGUAACACGUAGGAGGCAAACGUUAUCCGGAUUUACUGGGCGUAAAGCGCGUGUAGGUGGUACUGUAAGUAGGGCGUGAAAGCUCCUGGCUCAACUGGGAGAGGCCGUUCUAAACUACAGAACUAGAGGAUGGUAGAGGGAGGUGGAAUUCCAGGUGUAGCGGUGGAAUGCGCAGAUAUCUGGAGGAACACCGGUGGCGAAGGCGGCCUCCUGGACCAUCCCUGACACUCAGACGCGAAAGCUAGGGUAGCAAACGG
rnacentral:rRNA from 1 species